GAAAAUAUAAGAUGAAGAAGGGAUCAGCAGUGGGAACAAGAAGCAAGUCAUAGCAAAUACUGAAAUCACCAGAAUAAGUUGGAAAACCAACAAUGAUUCACAACCAAGCUCAAAUAACCCAGGAAUACACUUAAAAACCAAACAGAAAGAUGUGAAAACCCACAUCAACUACAAAAUGCCCAUGAAGCUGAACCUCAAUACCUCUGAAACUCACUGGAAGCAUUCCCAUCUUGAAACUUAAACCAAAUAGACCCCAAAUUCUCUUAAAACAUCUACCAAACAAAUCUGAUCAAUUUUAGAGCUAAGUCCUCAGCCAGAAAUGGGAAAUCCAAAGAAGGAGGCUGAAAGUCAUCUUAAAAUUCAAUGAAAUAGUGAAAUAUUUUUGGUUUUUCUCUUUUCUAAUGUUUUUCUUUAUGUUUUUCUUUUUUAUUGAAGGUUUGAAUGCAAAAACUAUUCUAGCAUUAAAAACUGAAGAAGAAGAAGAAUUUUUCUCCGUAUUUUUUUUAGGCUGGAAAAAUUGAACCCAGGAAAAAUCAGAAAACUUCAGCAAUCAAACUCGAAGCUAAAUAUGUAAAUUCACACUACAACUUGAAACUGAAUUUAAAAUUGCAAUGGAACAAUAUUGGAAUUUUCUGCUGUAUUUUUCCCUUUGUUUGUUUUUUUGAAGGUUUGGAGAUUUUUUUUUGUUUUAUUUUUCUUUAGUUUUGAAAUCUGGAGGUUGAGACUGUUUUUGGGGAGAAACUUUAUAAGUGAAAACUUUGAUUUUCCUUUUCUAAAGCUAAGAGUGAAGAUUUGAGAGAGAACUUCAGAAUUU
rnacentral:lncRNA from 1 species